UGGGAUGUAGUUCAGUUGGUAGAAUGCUUGCCUAGUGUGCAGGAAGCCCUGAGUUUGAUAGCCAGCACCUCAU
rnacentral:tRNA from 1 species